AAUAAAAUAUGAGCAAAAGUAUGCUUACAAAAGGACACCGGCCUCAAGCUACACAAGUAGAUUUACUUGAAGCAAACCCAGUGCUGUAUGGUUAAAAUAAGCUACAAUA